UACGUAGGGUGCAAGCGUUGUCCGGAAUUAUUGGGCGUAAAGAGCUCGUAGGCGGUCUGUCGCGUCGGAUGUGAAAACUCGGGGCUCAACCCCGAGCCUGCAUUCGAUACGGGCAGACUAGAGUUCGGUAGGGGAGUCUGGAAUUCCUGGUGUAGCGGUGAAAUGCGCAGAUAUCAGGAGGAACACCGGUGGCGAAGGCGGGACUCUGGGCCGAUACUGACGCUGAGGAGCGAAAGCGUGGGGAGCAAACAGG
rnacentral:rRNA from 1 species